AGAGAGCUGCCGCCGCGGAGCCUCCUUCUUUCCUCCCUCUGAUUCCGGGCUGUCAUGGCGACCCCCAACAACCUGACCCCCACCAACUGCAGCUGGUGGCCCAUCUCGGCGCUGGAGAGCGAUGCGGCCAAGCCGGUGGAGGCCCCCGACGCGCUCGAGGCGGCCAGCCCCGCCCAUUGGCCCAAGGAGAGCCUUGUUCUGUACCACUGGACCCAGUCCUUCAGCUCACAGAAGGUGCGGCUCGUGAUUGCAGAGAAGGGCCUGGUGUGUGAGGAGCGGGACGUGAGCCUGCCACAGAGCGAGCACAAGGAGCCCUGGUUCAUGCGGCUCAACCUGGGGGAGGAGGUGCCCGUCAUCAUCCACCGGGACAAUAUCAUCAGCGACUACGACCAGAUCAUCGACUACGUGGAGCGAACCUUUACAGGAGAGCACGUGGUGGCCCUGAUGCCUGAGGCGGGCAGCCCUCAGCACGCAAGGGUGCUGCAGUACCGGGAGCUGCUGGGCGCGCUGCCCAUGGACGCCUACACGCACGGCUGCAUCCUGCACCCUGAGCUCACCACUGACUCCAUGAUCCCCAAGUACGCCACGGCCGAGAUCCGCAGACAUUUAGCCAACGCCACCACAGACCUCAUGAAAUUGGACCAUGAAGAGGAGCCCCAGCUCUCUGAGCCCUACCUUUCCAAACAGAAGAAGCUCAUGGCCAAGAUCCUGGAGCACGAUGAUGUGAGCUACCUGAAGAAGAUCCUUGGGGAGCUGGCCAUGGUGCUGGACCAGAUAGAGGCGGAGCUGGAGAAGAGGAAGCUGGAAAACGAGGGGCAAAAGUGUGAACCAUGGCUCUGCGGCUGUGCCUUCACCCUCGCCGACGUUCUCCUGGGAGCUACCCUGCACCGCCUCAAGUUCCUGGGACUGUCCAAGAAGUACUGGGAAGACGGCAGCCGGCCCAACCUGCAGUCCUUCUUUGAGAGGGUCCAGAAGCGCUUGGCCUUCCGGAAGGUCCUCGGCGACAUCCACACCACUCUGCUGUCGGCUGUCAUCCCCAAUGCGUUCCGGCUGGUCAAGCGGAAACCCCCAUCUUUCUUUGGGGCGUCCUUCCUCAUGGGCUCCCUGGGUGGGAUGGGCUACUUUGCCUACUGGUACCUCAAGAAAAAAUACAUCUAGAGCCAGGCCUGGGCUUGGUACCUGUUGGUGUCUCUGUCCUGUGUGACCCCCAGCAAGCUCUCAGUAACGCACUGUCUCAUGAACUUGGACAGCCACUCCCUGCCCUGUUUGGAGUAAUUCUAUCGUCAAUGUGAAAACAUUCCAUAGUUUAGAGGUAGACGUUGCCAAUGCCGUGAGUUGAGGCCACAGCUCUACUAAAGGAGAGAAAGAGUGAGUGUGAGAGAGAGAGAGGGAGAGAGAGAACAGAAACAAAACACGAAUACCUUUUCUUUUGAUUCAAGGUCUCAAGAUGGAACUGGGGGGACUGGUUAGGAUCUGAGGGAACUCUUCCACAGGACAAAGCCAACAUCAACACUGACUCUUCUAAG